rnacentral:rRNA from 1 species
UUGUCUCUCUUGAGUGGAUCCUGAGUACGACGGAGCACGUGAAAUUCCGUCGGAAUCUGGGAGGACCAUCUCCUAAGGCUAAAUACUCUCUAGUGACCGAUAGUGAACCAGUACCGUGAGGGAAAGGUGAAAAGCACCCCGGAAGGGGAGUGAAAUAGAACCUGAAACCGUGUGCUUACAAGUAGUCAGAGCCCGUUAAUGGGUGAUGGCGUGCCUUUUGUAGAAUGAACCGGCGAGUUACGAUUUGAUGCAAGGUUAAGCAGUAAAUGUGGAGCCGUAGCGAAAGCGAGUCUGAAUAGGGCGUUUAGUAUUUGGUCGUAGACCCGAAACCAGGUGAUCUACCCUUGGUCAGGUUGAAGUUCAGGUAACACUGAAUGGAGGACCGAACCGACUUACGUUGAAAAGUGAGCGGAUGAACUGAGGGUAGCGGAGAAAUUCCAAUCGAACCUGGAGAUAGCUGGUUCUCUCCGAAAUAGCUUUAGGGCUAGCCUCAAGUGAUGAUUAUUGGAGGUAGAGCACUGUUUGGACGAGGGGCCCCUCUCGGGUUACCGAAUUCAGACAAACUCCGAAUGCCAAUUAAUUUAACUUGGGAGUCAGAACAUGGGUGAUAAGGUCCGUGUUCGAAAGGGAAACAGCCCAGACCACCAGCUAAGGUCCCAAAAUAUAUGUUAAGUGGAAAAGGAUGUGGCGUUGCCCAGACAACUAGGAUGUUGGCUUAGAAGCAGCCAUCAUUUAAAGAGUGCGUAAUAGCUCACUAGUCGAGUGACACUGCGCCGAAAAUGUACCGGGGCUAAACAUAUUACCGAAGCUGUGGAUUGUCCUUUGGACAAUGGUAGGAGAGCGUUCUAAGGGCGUUGAAGCAUGAUCGUAAGGACAUGUGGAGCGCUUAGAAGUGAGAAUGCCGGUGUGAGUAGCGAAAGACGGGUGAGAAUCCCGUCCACCGAUUGACUAAGGUUUCCAGAGGAAGGCUCGUCCGCUCUGGGUUAGUCGGGUCCUAAGCUGAGGCCGACAGGCGUAGGCGAUGGAUAACAGGUUGAUAUUCCUGUACCACCUAUAAUCGUUUUAAUCGAUGGGGGGACGCAGUAGGAUAGGCGAAGCGUGCGAUUGG